rnacentral:rRNA from 1 species
UACGAGGGGGGCAAGCGUUGUUCGGAAUUACUGGGCGUAAAGCGUGCGCAGGCGGUUUGUUAAGUCUGCUGUGAAAUCCCCGAGCUCAACUUGGGAAUUGCAGUGGAUACUGGCAGGCUGGAGUAUGGUAGAGGAAGGUGGAAUUCCCGGUGUGGCAGUGAAAUGCGUAGAGAUCGGGAGGAACACCAGUGGCGAAGGCGGCCUUCUGGACCAAUACUGACGCUCAUGCACGAAAGCGUGGGGAGCAAACAGG